AUUUCAUUUCAGGUUCUUUCUGAGACAUGUUUUCAUGGUGUGGGAAUAAGACUUGGUGGUCUUAUACAGCUAAUACAAAGGUUAGCAUCACAGCUUGUCUGUAAGGAUUGAAGCUGGGAGUGGGCAUUGGAGCUGACUUUUAUGAUAACUGUGGCUGCAUAAAAUGGUUGUGUGAUAUAACUGCAACAGUAAAGAAUGUAAUUCAGACUAUUUUUGUGUAUGCUUGAGAAAAUGUUUAUAAUUUUUUUACAAAAAAAAAAAAAAAAAUAUGUAAAGAUUCUCCAUUUUCAACAAGAUUGGAAGUUGUAGGUUAACUUGUAUUUGACAUUACAAAAAUUCUUUCUAUUUUCCGUUUAUACUCAUUUCUAGUCAAAACACUUCCAGCAGUUUAAGAAUGGAUAAUCUAAAAGAAAAAGAAAGAAAAAAGAAAAAAAAAUGUUCAAUUAUUGAAAUGUAUUUUUUUUUUUUGCAAAUUGUAAUGUAUAUAUUUUUGCCAUCUUUUUGUUAUUUUAGGAUUUGAGAUACUUUCAAAUUUUACAAGUUACUUUAUACAUGUAGUUAAUGCAAUUAAAUCUGCCGAUGUGAAUAUUCCCACUAAAUUUCUUAGAAAAUUUUUUAAUUAUUUUUGUUUUUUUUUAGUAACGUUUCAAAAUACCUUACCAUAGCAAAUGCCUCUCUAGUGUAAACUAAAAAGAUGAAUAAUGGUCUGCAGUAAAUAUAUCCCCUUACAACCUUUUCUUUCGUGUUAAUUUUAAUAUCUUUAAGAUAUGUGACAAGGGUGCUCUAAUGCAGAGGAAUUUACGAAGUUAAGAAGUUAGAAAUAUAUUUUUUGCACUUUUUUUGUCAUUUUUAGCUGAUUUUAGUUUGUAACCAAGGUGGUAUUUUUUAAAGAAUAAUUUUACAAAAGGCAUAGUUGAAGAACAUCUUGUUGAAAUUGGAUUGGUUGAUUUUUGGUGUAAAACACCACUUUAACAUGAUUUACUAUAAUUUUGGCUGUAAAUUUUUAUUUGUGGAGACAGCCAGAGUGCCUGGUGAAAACAUCACCUUCAUCAGGGAAACGGGCAAACCCUAGUCAAAUUAAGAAUGAAGUUACACAUUUCAUGUGAGGGUUCUCAGUGUUGACAGGCUAGUGAUACAGUAGUUGAACUACUUAUAGGACCACUCUGCCAGCGUAAGUUGCUCAGUACGAAAUAUUUUAUUGAAAUGUGUUAGAUUUUUGUUAUCAAUCUAUUUUUUAAUUUUAAUUGUACUAUUUUAUUUAUUUUGUUUAAUAUAACAAGGAUGUGGAGUCCGAACAGGGUGAAAUUUGGGUCAAAGGGAGGCAAUUUAUUAUACCCCUGUUUAACUCCACAUACUUGAAAUUCCCUCAAUGUUAGAAUUUUCAUUUACUUGGAUAUUCAUGUUUGUACAUUUUUUUUUAAUAUCAGAUGUAUACUAGCUAAUAUUGACUGUUAUUUAGAGCUCUGUAAUAAAAAAAAAUAAAUGUAAGCAGAGCUCUAGAUAAUAAGUAUGCAGGGUGGGAGAAAUCUUGGGUCAUUUAUAACAAUUGAUUUGCUGAAAUUUUCAAGAAAGGGGAUUUAUUGGAAAUGCAUCUGAUAUAUUUAAUGUAUAAAACUAUAUUUAAAAAAAAAAGAUGUUAAGAUGAUGAGGAGAGCCACCUUGUCAGCCGGGAGAGCAGGUCUAAGGGAGAUGGUCAAUUUAAUCUUCACCAAGUCUGAGGCUUUACCAUGAAAAAUAUGUGGUUGUUAUAAUGAUGAUGUUUUCAUGGUGUUGGGAGUAAGACUUGGAUGUCUGAUAUUGUUAACAUGUUGGU